AUACGGAGGGUCCGAGCGUUAUCCGGAAUCAUUGGGUUUAAAGGGUCCGUAGGCGGGCUUCUAAGUCAGUGGUGAAAUCUUACAGCUCAACUGUAAAAUUGCCAUUGAUACUGGAGGUCUUGAAUUAGUGUGAAGUGGUUAGAAUGUGUAGUGUAGCGGUGAAAUGCAUAGAUAUUACACAGAAUACCAAUUGCGAAGGCAGAUCACUAACACUAUAUUGACGCUGAGGGACGAAAGCGUGGGGAGCGAACAGGAUUAGAUACCCCAGUAGUCC
rnacentral:rRNA from 1 species